UACGGAGGGUGCAAACGUUGCUCGGAAUCAUUGGGCGUAAAGCGCGCGUAGGCGGUUACUUAAGUCGAAUGUGAAAGCCCUCGGCUUAACUGAGGAAGUGCAUCCGAAACUGAGUAGCUAGAGUACGAAAGAGGGUCGCGGAAUUCCCGGUGUAGAGGUGAAAUUCGUAGAUAUCGGGAGGAACACCGGUGGCGAAGGCGAAUCUCUGGACAGUUACUGACACUGAGGCACGAAGGCCAGGGGAGCAAACGGG
rnacentral:rRNA from 1 species